AGCCAACCUGCAAGUGAUCCUGGGAAAUGUAGCUUGCAAGGGUGAGCCUCUGUGACGCAGAGCAGAGAAGCUGCGGGGAUCUGAAAGCAAACAUGGUCUUUCCAGGACAUGCUCUGUGCUGGGAACUGGGGCGGAAAAAAUCAAACUGGACAAUCACAGCCCAAAGACACCCAUAAGCUAUACCAAUAGUUCCAGUGCAGUGUGCCGACUGCUUCCAAGGACCUAUAAAUAAGGUCCUUGAGGGAAUGCCUUCAUGUUUACCCUAUGUAUCCUUCAUGCCUGCAAAGCACAUGGCACAAAGUGGCACUCAGAAAAUUGGAAGAGGGUGGAGAAAGGAGGAAGACAGGCAAGAAGCAGCCAAGGUUAUAUUGCAUUUCACAAUCUACCCACAUAGCAUGACGAACUCGCCCUCAGGGAGAUGAUGUUUCCCUGGCAUUUUCCUAUCUCCGCCUGCUCCUAGAGGCCACUUCAGCAAGCUCUGAGAUUUCACUGCACACAACCAAUCCCUACCUUGCCAGGCUCCAGAAGGUACUUCUGCUUAUCUUUUUUUCUUGCAAAACACCCAGAUUAGCUUUCAAAAUUGCAGCUAAAUCUAAAGCAAAUGGCUUAUAAGAAAGGCAGAAGUGGGUCACAAAUAAUUAUACCUGAUUUGUCCCCAGCUGCCUCUACUCGCCACAUUCUCCAGUGCA
rnacentral:lncRNA from 1 species